rnacentral:lncRNA from 1 species
CCAGCCUGUGCUAAGAAAACUGCCCCACAUCAUCUGCAGUAGGACGGGGGAGUUGGAGCCCUGGUCAGGCCACUCUGCUACUGACCACAGUUUUCUCAUCUCUAAAAAGGCGCAGUAACAAUAUAAUUACCGUAUGCAGUCCCCCAGGAUACAGGGUCAAAGGAGAGCACAACCAUCUCAGUUGGAAGCCCAUGGGGCAGAAGCAAGGUCUCGCUGUGUUACCCGGGCUGGAGUGCAGUGGCUACUUACAGGCAUGAUCAUAGCAUACUGCAGCCUCGAACUCCUGGACUAAAGCAGUUCUCCUGCCUCAGCCUCCAGAGCAGCUGGGACUGCAGACACGCACCACAGAGCCCAGCCUGAGUCAUUUUGAUUCUGUAACUGGCUUCCUCUCGGCGGGCAGGCUCACACCCUCCACCCCCAGCUGGAGAUGGAAGGAGGAUGCUCACCAUCCAUUCCUCAUGCAGGCCAUCGAUGGAAAUGUCAGACAGUGCGAGUCCAUGCCUGAACACUUCUGGGGUCCGCUCUGGGACUGACACUGGCAGAUCCAUCGGUAAGCUCCCGCCUGCCACCUCUGGGCCUGCAUUGCGGUGAUAGGGCCAAGGGCCUGGGCCUUCAAUUCUCCAGACUUGCCAAAAUGCUCAGCGCAGGCCUCGUCGGCAACUGCAGACAAGCAGAGGCAGCACCUGGGCUCUGCCUGUGCCUGGCACAGUGAAGCGAGGGUGGGGGCAGGAAUGAGGGUCCUCUCCAUGCAAGGGGGGAAGAUAGAAGAACAAAAUUUCACCCUAAUGUAGUGUCUUUAGACCGUGCAAUGUUGUGCUCCUGUUAGUCUGAUAUCAGGGGCUUGCAGCCUGGCAAAGGAAAAAAAACAGGCUGAGGCACGUGAUAGAAGACAGGCAGGGAUGCCACAAUCAUAACCAUGGCAAAGACCAGGAUCAGAAAGGCCCACCAUCUCUGACCCCAAAUCCCUGGGCAGAUGGUUCCGGAACUCAGAAUUUUCCCAGUUGUAGAAAGAUGGGGCCAGGUGCAGUGGCUCAUGCCUGUAAUCCCAGCAUUUUGGGAGUACGAGGUGGGCGGAUCACCUGAGGUCAGGAGUUCGAGACCAGCCUGGCCAACAUGGUGAAACCCUGUCUCUACUAAAAAAAAAAAAAAAAAAAAAAAAAAAAAAAAAAAAAUUAGCCGGGCGUGGCGAUGCAUGCCUGUAAUCCCAGCUACUCGGGAGGCUGAGCCAGGAGAAUUGCUUGAACCCGGGAGGUGGAGGUUGCAGUGAGCCAAGAUCGCGCCACUACACUCCAGUCCGGGCGACAGAGCAAGAGUCCAUCCCCCACCACCAAAAAAAAAAAAAGAAAGAAAGAUGAUGUGAUACAUAUCACAUAUUUCCUAACACCCCCAACCAAACACAUUUAUGCAUAUGCCGCAAAGCAGACGAGGAAAGAUUCUAAAUAGGCUCUGAAUCUCAGUUUUCUCAUCUCUACAAUGGGGCAGUGAUGGCAUGCACCUCCCAGGGCUGUUCUGAGAAUCUGAUGCCUCCCAUUGCACUGGUGAGCCUGGCACAGGCACAGGUCCCACCCCAGGCCCUUUGAACUGGCUGUUCCUUUGGCCUGGAACAUUCCUCCCCAGAUACCUCCUGAGAGGGCUCCCUCACUUCCUUCAAGGCACUGCUCAAAUGCUACCUGUUCACAGAGGCUUUCCCUGACCACCCCGUCCCUUUCCUCUUCCUGCAUAGCCUCUGUCACCUGACAUUUUAUGUCAUAAAUUACUCAUUUAUUAAUUUCCUGCUCUCCCACAGUGGCACCCGAGCUCUGUGAGGGCAAGACUUUGUUUGGUUGUGGGCUAUGCCCCCAACCCCUCGGACAGUGCCUGCACAGGUGGACAUUUUUGUUGGAUGAAGGAUUUUCUGUUAAAUGUGUCUGGCACACACAGAAAAACAAAGCCCAGCAGGUACGAUGGUGAUUAUUAUUGUUACUGGUGGUGCUCUAUUAUUGUUAUUAGUGUCUGUUGAAAAAGACCCUGAGCUAUACCAGCCCUUGGUUCUCCAGCCUGUGAAAUGGGCAUCCUGGGCACUGAGGCACUAGCCUUGGGAAGCUGAUAGGGGGUCCCUGCAGGAGAGACAAAGAACACUGCCCACCCCCCCGGGGAGCCUGCGCCCCUCACCGGAAAGAGAAGCAGGGGGGAGCAGAGGGAGCUUGCAGCCCCACACGCAGGGCUGCCAGAAGGCCAUACAUAAUUCAUUGCCAAAUGGGGCUGCGGGCGGCUCUCCGCGGCGUGCGCUGGGGGCUCACUCUGCGCCUGGCACUUCGCUGACUGCGCCUCACACGUUGCCUCAUUGCAUCUUCAUGGAUUUGCAGGGUGUGACCCUUCCCCCUGUUUUACCCAGGGGGAUCCUGAGGCUCAGAGGAUGGGGCCACCGUGCUAGUCACAGGCUCUCUGUGGCCAAGCUGGGCCUCGGGUCAGCAGAUUUGGCCCCCAGCGGCCCCCAUUCACUGCCUCUCUGCUGAGGGAAAAGACGGGCCUGGGGAGCGGGUGGGAGGCACAAAGGAGACCCCGCUCUGAGACAGGCUGCAGAAGAGGGAGCUGGGUCUCAGCAGGGCUGGGGAAGGCUCUGGCCCCAGCCCUCCGCCCAACCCCCUGCCCUCCUCUCCUGGAGGAGAUGCUCCCCAAAUUAGCCAUCAUGAGCACUGGCUCUGGGGGUUGGGCGCUGGGGAGCAGUUUGCUCAGCUGUAAAAUGGGAAUAACAGAAGCCGUCCCUGGGACUAUGAGAUCAAGGUGCUCAAGAAAAGUGGUGUCUGCUGAGGGGAAAAGCCAGUCCCAAAAGGUUGCAUACUCUCAUUCUGUUUAUUUGUUUUUGUUUUUGAGACAGGGUCUCGCCCUGUCACCCAGGCUGGAGUACAGUGGCGCAAUAUGGGCUCACUGCAACCUCCACCUCCUGGGCUCAAGUGAUUCUCCCAUCUCAGACCCUCAAGGAGCUGGGGCUACAGGCACGUGCCACCGUGUCCGGCUAAUUUUUGUAUUUUUUGUAGAGACAGGGUUUCACCAUGUUGCCCAGGCUGGUCUCAAACUCCUGAGCUCAGGUGAUCCGCCUGCCUUGGCCUGCGAUAAAAUUGCACAGAAGUGAAUACACACACGUGAGGAUACGGAAAACCGGGGAAACCUGAGCAAGAGCAGUCAGACCCCGGCUGUGAUGGCGCCCAGUAGUUCUGCGAGAUGUUACCAUUGGGGAAACUGAGUGAAGGCAGGUACCUGGGAUCCCUCUGUUUUCUUUUUUGUUGUUGUUGUUGUUUUGAGAUGAAGUUUCCCUCUUGUUGCCCAGGCUGGUUGAUCCACUUGCCUCGGUCUCCCAAAGUGCUGGGAUUACAGGCGUGAGCCACUGUGCCCAGCUUCUCUGUUUUAUUUCUUCUUCUUCUUCUUUUUUUUUUUUUUUUUUGGAGACGCUCUGUCCCCCAGGCUGGAGUGCAGUGGCACGAUAUUGGCUCACUGCAAGCUCCGCCUCCUGGGUUCACACCAUUCUCCUGCCUCAGCCACCCGAGUAGCUGGGACUACAGGCGCCUGCCACCACGCCCGUCUAAUUUUUUGUAUUUUUAGUAGAGGCGGGGCUUCACCGUGUUAGCCAGGAUGGUCUCGAUCUCCUGACCUCGUCAUCCGCCCGUCUCGGCCUCCCAUAGUGCUGGGAUUACAGGCGUGAGCCACCACGUCCGGCCUUUGCUCUUAUUUCUUAUAACUGUACAGGAAUCUACAAUGAUUGUAACAAAAAUUUCAAUUAAGGCCACUCUAGGCACAUGGCCUGUGGGGUAGCCCUGCUCAACAAGAAGCUGUCAAAAAAAUGUUUUUUAAUUAAAAAAUUUUUUCAAUUAAAAAGCGUUAUCUUCCUCUGCCCGGAAAGGGUUAAGUGAGUCACUGCAGUUAGCUCCCCUUCCCCCACAACCACCUAGACCAGGCCAGGGACCAGCGGGCAAUUGCCUGGCAGCUGGAGUUUUCCUCCACUGUGGACUGUACUUCUUGCAUCACUCUGAAUGUCUCCAGUCUUUAUUCCAGAAUGUUCUGGUCCUCUCCCACUUUUCCGAGGACAGGAAUUCCCUAGUGGGGCUCCAGUAGAGGCUCUGGAGGAGAACAAGAAAGGCCCUUGUCAUCCAUUGGCCUCAGGCUGGGAAAUCUCGGUUCCAGUCCCAGCCCAGCCUCAAUAUUAGGUUGUCAGUCUGGAGUCUGAGAGCCAUGCCCCCACCCCCUUAGUCCUUCACCUCCAGGAGAGUUGGGGAUACUGGAAAGAAUGUUGAGUGUCAGAGCCCCUCUCAGUGGCUCACGCCUGAAAUCCCAGCCCUUUGGGAGGCUGAGGCAGGUGGAUUGCUUGAGGCCAAGAGUUCAAGACCAGCCUGGCCAACGCGACGAAACCCUGACUCUACUAAAAAUACAAAAAUUAGCUGGGCGUGGUGGCACACACCUGUAAUCCCAGCAGCUCGGGAGGCUGAGGCAGGAGAAUUGUUUGAACCUGAGAGGUGGAGGUUGCAGUGAGCUGAGAUCACAACACUGCACUCAAAAAGUAGUUAAUUAAUAUAGUUUAAUUAAAAAAGAAUAUUGAAUGUCAGGCAAUCUGGGUAGAACCCGUUGUGUUUCUACAGGAUAGAAUCUGCUGUGUUCUCUCGGAACUUCCAGAUCACCUUCACAGUAUGACUCUAGACAAUCCCUGUCCACUCUUCAGUUUUAGAUGCCCCAUUCGAAGAAUGAAAGAAUUGUCCUAGAUGAUCCUUUAGGGUCUUCCAGGCUGAUGACAAGGGGGACCUGGCCUCUCUGCUGCUGGCCAAAGAGGACUUUACUUCCCAUUCCGUGUGGUUGAACAAGAAUUGCUGGGCUCCAGUCCUGCCUUUGGCCCUUCCCUACGUGUGACCUUGGGCCCUCUUUGCCUUUCAGAAUCAAUACAGUGAGAGAGUUAACACAAGCUCAGGUUAGUAAGUCAUUCAACAAACAUUUACUGAGCGCUUAUCAAAUACUGCAUGCUGGAGUGGACACUGGAGAAAAAGGUGAGGAGAAGGCCGGGCGCAGUGGCUCGUGACUAUAAUUCCAGCACUUUGAGGGGCAGAGGCAGGUGGAUUACCUGAGGUCAGGAGUUUGAGACCAGACUGGCCAACAUGGCAAAACCCCGUCUCUACUAAAAAUACAAAUAUUAGCCAGGCAUGGUGGUGCAUAUCUGUAGUCCCAGCUACUCAGGAGGCUGAGCAGGAGAAUCACUUGAACUCGGGAGGUGGAGCGUGCAGUGGGCCGAGAUUGCACCUCUGCACUCCAGCCUGGGCAACAUAGUGAGACUCUGUCUCAAAUAAAUAAAUAAAGUGAGGAGAAAAAAAUACCAUCUCUGUCUUCACAGAACUUAUAGUUUGGGAGGGGAGAAUCCCACAAGUAAAUUAAAAAUCUCAGCUGAGAUGAUGCAAAGAAGCAAAGGCCGGACGUGGUGGCUCACGCCUGUCAUCCCAGCACUUUGGGAGGCCGAGACGGGCAGAUCACGAGGUCAGGAGAUUGAGACCAUCCUGGCUAACACGGUGAAACCCCAUCUCUACUAAAAAUACAAAAAAAUUAGCUGGGCGUGGUGGCAGGCGUCUGUAGUUCCAGCUACUCGGGAGGCUGAGGCAGGAGGAUGGCAUGAACCCAGGAGCACAGGUUGCAGUGAGCCGAGAUGGCGCCACUGCACUCCAGCCUGGGCGACAGAGCAAGACUGUGUCUCAAAAAAAAAAAAAAAGAAGAAGAAGCAAAGUGCCCAGCUGGGAUGGUGGUUUCAGAGGCCACAGUGGGAGCUUCCCAGAGAAGGAAUGAUUGAGCUAAGUCUAAGCAAAAGGGGUGGUCAGGGCAGCAGCUGCUCCAAAACAGGGGCUGGGGGCUUAUGUGGAGAGAGAAGACAUGGAGAGACCAUGCCCAGAAGGAGGCGGCGGCUUCAGUGAACAGUGCAGGGGAGCAGAUCCGAGGAGGCCGCCUACCAGGGGAAGGAGUCUCAUCUCCAUCCUAGACAAAAAAAGGAUCUUUUGAGAUGCAUUAAGCAGGGGAGUCACAGAUUGGAUUUGUGUUUUGAGAAUCUCCUGCUUACCUAGAGAAGAAGGGCAUCUCCUGGGCCCUCACUGUUGCCUUAAAUGAUUUUUAUUGUGUAUUACUUAAACAUGUGCAAGCAUAAAAUGAGAUAUAAACUCCUUGUAGCUCUUAUACAAGCAUCAGACCAAGACAAAUUGACCCAUCAUGUACAAAAUCGAUUCAAAUCAGAUUAAUUUUAUGUGACAUGUUAUUAUGCCUUUUGUCUGAAACCCUGCCACCACCCACAGUGCAAUUAUGGCCCAACCACUGUGGUGUUCUGAAUUUGUGGGACAGAGAAGAUUGGCCUUUGAAACACGUGCAUGCAUGCAUUUGCGUGUGCACACACACACACACAUCCCAAAUGAUUUUUUCCCACUACAUAUGAAGAACUCCUACAAACCAAAAAGAAAAAGGCAGACAAUUCAACAGAAAAAUGGGGGAGGGCUUGCAUUAAAGUACUUCAUAACAAGAGUACUUAGGAGGCCAAUAAAUACACGAAAAGCUGCUAGCUUCAUGACUCAUGGGGGUGGCUUGGUCAGUUCAGGAUACUGUAACAAAAUACCUUAGACUGGGAAAUUUAUAAACAACGGAAUUUAUUGCUCACAGUUCUGGAGGCUGGGAAGUCCAAGAUCAAGGCAGCAGUAGAUCCGGUGCCUGAGCCUGUUCCCUGCUUCAAACAUGGCACCUUCUUGCUGCAUCCUCACAUGGUGGAAGGGGGAAGACAGUCCUCUGGCACCUCUUUUAUAAGGGCAGUUAUCCAAUUCACAAGGAUAGAGCCCUCAUGACCUAAUCACCUUUCAAAGAUCCCCAUCUUCUAACACCUUCUAACACCAUCACCUUGGUGAUUAGGUUUUUUGUUUUGUUUUGUUUUGUUUUGUUUUUUUGAGAUGGACUCUCACUCUGUUGCCUAGGCUGGAGCGGUGGCAUAAUCUUGGUUCACUGCAACCUCUGCCUCCCGGGCUCAAGUGAUUAUCCUGUCUCAGCCUCCCAAGUGGCUGGGAUUACAGGCGUGUGCCACCGUGCCCGGCUAAUUUUCAUAUUUUUAGUAGAGACAGGGUUUCACCAUGUUGGUCAGGCUGGUCUCGAACUCCUGACCUCAUGAUCCGCCCACUUCGGCCUCCCAAAGUGCUGGGAUUACAGGCAUGAGCCACUGCACCCAGCCGAUUAAGUCUUAACGUAUGAGUUUUUGGGAGAAACUCAAACAUUCGGACAAUAGCAAGGAGAAUACAAAACCACAGUGAGCUACCGCUUCAGACACCAGAGAAGUUUAAGUGAAAAAGACUGGCAAUACCAAGUGUUGAUGAGGAUAUGGAGCAACCAGAACUCUCAGACAUUGCUGAUGGGAAUCUAAAUUAGUAUAACCACCACGAAAGCAUCCGUAAGGUUUAAUUGUGUUGAACACACCCUGCCCUCUGACCCAGCAUUUCCACUCCUGGGCAUACAGGCAAAAGAAAUGCAUCCACGUGUUCAUCAAAAGAUGUAACCUGUGCCAAGUGAGGUGGUUCAUGCCUGUAAUCCCAGCACAUUGGGAGGCCAAGGAGGGAGGAUUGCUUGAGCCCAGAAGUUCGAGAGCAGCCUAGGCAACAAGGCAAAACCUCGUCUCUACUAAAAAGUAGCCAGGCAUGAUGGUAUAUGCCUGUAGUCCCAGCUACUCAGGAGGCCAAGGCAUGCAGAUUGAUUGAACCCGGAAGGUGGAGGCUACAGUGAAUUGUGAUCUCGCCACUGCACUCCAGCCUGGGUGACAGAGCAAGAUCUUAUCUCAAUUAAAAAAAAAAGAAGAAGAAAGAAAGACAUAACCUGGAAUAUUCACACCAACACUAUUCAGGACAGCCCUAAACUGGAAAGAAUCUGAAUAUCCUCCGGCUUUAGAACAGAUAGAGAAAUUAUAGACUAUUCAUUCAUACAGGGGAUGACUGAUCAGCUUUAAGAAUAAACAAACCGUACACAACAAUAUAGAUGAAUCUACAACCUUAAUGUGCAAAAUAGUUCACAUAUAUAAAGGACAAAAACAGGCAAAACUACUCCAUGGUGUUAGAAGUAGGGGUAGAGGUUACCCUCAUGCGGCAGGAGGGUUAGUGAUAGGGGAUUUGGAAGAGGAGGAGCCCAAUGGACUGAACAGCUGAGCUGGAAACAGCAAUUUGUUCCUUAAAGUUCUGAACCCAACUGUUAUCCAGCAUGGAGUCUGUCUGGAGAGGCCAGAUGUGGGGCCUCUCACAGGGGAAUGAGAAGUGCCUCUCAGGGUCCCACCCAUGAUCCCCCUUUCCUUGCCCACACAACCACCAACUGGCAAGUAGUAACCCAGGACCUGUAGCCCCCACUGGGUUGACACAGAGCAUAAUGCAAGCUUUUCCUGCUCCAGGUCCUGGACACCGCUUUGCCCUUUGCCCCACACGUACAGCCCCCUGACCAAAAGCUGGGUACUCUGGCUUGACUAGAGGGAGCUAGACUCCAGGAAUAAGUAAGGUGCUGGGCUUCCACGCUAGAGAACAAGAGCUUCUCUGGGGAAAGGGGCUUCCCAUGAAGCCCUGGGGCACUGGGAGAUUAAUGGGCAGACCUCUGGCCUCAGCUUCCAGGGAAGGGGAGGGUGUGGGCCAACAUGCGGUGGCUACACUGGCCACAAGCUGAUGACCCCAGCCAGCCUCAGGAUGUCUCAGCUCUAGGCAUGGUUUUUCGUUUUGUUUUGUCUUGUUUUGUUUUUGAGAUGGAACCUCACUCUGUCGCCUAGGCUGGAGUGAAGUGGCACCAUCUCGUCUCCCUGCAACCUCCACCUCCUGGGUUCAAGCGAUUCUCCUGCCUCAGCCUCCUGAGUAGCUGAGAUUACAUGUGCAUGCCACCUUGCCCAGCUAAUUUUUGUAUUUUUAGUAGAGAUAGGGUUUCAUCAUGUUAGCCAGGCUGGUCUCGAACUCCUGACCUCAAGUGAUCUGCCUGCCUCAGCCUCCCAAAGUGCAGGGAUUACAGGCAUGAGCCACCAUGCCUGGCAUAGGCAUGGUUUUGACAAUCUGUCUCUUUGUGCCCUGGCUCCUUCUCCAACUCCUCUUUGGAGGAGGCACAGGAGGAGGGGUCAUUUCACUGUUCCUGAAAAGUAGACAUAUAACCUACAUGCAACUGCCAGGUGAUAAGGGCCCCAUCUGUCUGGCAUGACGUUGGAGGUCCACAAAGGCUGAUUAGAUGAAUGCUCAGCUCUGGGCUGUACGCUGUGUGGGUGGCUAACUGGGGCCUCCCCACAGAGCUCACAGACAGGCGUGAAGGAAAGCAGGACUCUUAUUAGAAUAUGUUCAGAGUUUUCACUGAAGAAGCCUCCAGUGUGGGCCAGGCACUGUGCUCAGUGCUUUGAUUCACAGUCUCAUUUAAUUCUCACCAUUUACAGACAAGAAUUCAGCUAAGAUCCUUUUCAAUCAAGUCUGGCAAUAUCUGCCUUUCAAUGGCAGUGCCUAGUCCUUUCAUAUGUAAUAUACUUAUCAUUAUGGGUGGGUUUAAGUUUUAUCAUCUUGCUAUUUGUUAUCUAUUUGUCCCCCCUCUUUUGUUCCUCCUUUACUGCCUUCUAUUUGGUUGAGACUUAAUAAAAUAUUUUAUUCCAUCUUCUCUA